CCUCAAGGUUUGUGGAACGUAUCUUUAAUGGCGCCAUACAAGUUCAACACACGGUAACCGGUUGGCAACUGAUGGUGUGUGUAUUGAUCACCCUUGCCUUGACUCUACACAGUGAGAAAUAGUCACAUAACAUCAGCAAAAGGUGAUCAUUGACAUUGUUAACAGACCAACUAGAAGCAGAAGUUAACAGUUCAACCAGUAGCAGAAGUUAACAGUUCAACCAGUAGCAGAAGUUAACAGUUCAACCUGUAGCAGAAGUUAACAGUUCAACCAGUAGCUGAACUAACUAAAUAGCAAACAUCCGCCAUUAU